rnacentral:rRNA from 1 species
UACGGCGGGGGCUAGCGUUGUUCGGAAUUACUGGGCGUAAAGCGCACGUAGGCGGCUUUGUAAGUUAGAGGUGAAAGCCUGAUGCUCAACAUCAGAAUUGCCUUUAAGACUGCAUCGCUUGAACGUCGGAGAGGUGAGUGGAAUUCCGAGUGUAGAGGUGAAAUUCGUAGAUAUUCGGAAGAACACCAGUGGCGAAGGCGGCUCACUGGACGACUGUUGACGCUGAGGUGCGAAAGCGUGGGGAGCAAACAGG